UCUAUGUGACUGAAAACAAUAAGAAAAUGCCUAGAAGUCAGGCCUAGAACAUUAAAUGGUAAUAGACUCCAAACAACAGCAGAAGUCCAAGAUUGGGCAACUGAUAUUCAGUCCCAUGCACUACUUGAGCCAGUCUUGACUGAAACAGGAAUCACAUCAAAAGAUGAGGCAACACAAUCAGGGCCUUCCGUGUGUCUCUUCUCUGUCAUCAAAUCUUUCUCUCCACUGAAAUUGGGACUCACCAUUAUCCAGUAUGAC